UCCAUAUUUUAGUGUCCAAACUAAUUUUUGUUCAGACUUCAAUUAACUUUUCCAGUGGUGGAUCGAGAGUAUUAAGUUUGAUAGCGAUUCAUUUGAAGUAUCGUCCGUGGGAUUGGCAGAGAGUAAGCGUGGCUUAACGACAGAUCCGAUCUGCACGAGUGGAACAAUCGGUCCUCCUCGAUCGGUCUCCUCCUCCCCUUUUUAUGCCGACGUAUUUCGAUGCCUGAUCGAAUACAGGGAUUCCCAGACCGACGGGGAGAAAUAGACGAUUAUUCAAGUAACGUCGGGAACAUAACGUGUGACGAUAACUCGGAAGAGAGCAGAGGGGGAUGGUGCGUUCUCAAAAGUUGAAGAAAAUUUCUGAAAAAAAAACCCGCGAGGAAAUUCUUGCGGGCAAUAUAACCGAGGAGAUCGAGAAACGCGUUUCCGAGCGGUGCGUCCUAAGCGAGUCUCGAACAGAUGAUCCCCACCGGGGCAGCCCGUUUGCAACCCGGGGAACGACCAGCAUGAAGAGCCUCGAUCUCCAUCGCGCCUUGAAAUUCCACGGAUCCGGCGCGGCACGGUGCGGCACACCCUCGAGAAACAGAUCCCGUAAAAUAGAAACUUCCGACGCUACGUACGGGCUGCAUAUUCCCCGCAACGAGGACUUCAUACCGGAGUUUCCCGAGGACCUAGCGCAGGUCCUUGUAAUUUCGCCUGGCAGCAUCCUCGUCCUUUCCUUUGCGCCGGCUUCCA